rnacentral:rRNA from 1 species
UACGGAAGGCAGCAGUGGGGAAUAUUGCACAAUGGGCGCAAGCCUGAUGCAGCCAUGCCGCGUGUAUGAAGAAGGCCUUCGGGUUGUAAAGUACUUUCAGUCGUGAGGAAGGUGUUAAGGUUAAUAACCUUAGCAAUUGACGUUAGCGACAGAAGAAGCACCGGCUAACUCCGUGCCAGCAGCCGCGGUAAUACGGAGGGUGCGAGCGUUAAUCGGAAUUACUGGGCGUAAAGGGCACGCAGGCGGUUAAUAAGUUGGAUGUGAAUCCCCGGGCUUAACCUGGGAAUGGCAUUCAAGACUGGUUAGCUAGAGUCUUGUAGAGGGGGUAGAAUUCCAUGUGUAGCGGUGAAAUGCGUAGAGAUGUGGAGGAAUACCGGUGGCGAAGGCGGCCCCUGGGACAAAGACUGACGCUCAUGUGCGAAAGCGUGGGGAGCAAACAGGAUUUAGAUACC